rnacentral:snRNA from 1 species
UUCAUGUUCUAUUGUCAAUAUUUAUUUUGUACUAUUGCGAAGAUUAGCAUGGUCCCUGCGCAAGGAUGACACACAAAUCGAGAAAUGGUUCAAAUUUAA